rnacentral:lncRNA from 1 species
UUGUUUUUUUACUUUAUUAUUUAUUUUGAUUAGAGGAACAAAAGGGCUAUUCUGCACUUUAUUUUCUUAUACUUUUUUACUGCAUGCACAUAGGUAUUUUAUUUUAAUUUGAACUUCAGUUCAGAUUUCAUACUGUGAAAAACUACUUUGCACUUUAUUUCAGUUUUCAGCUCAGUGUUUCAGCUGUAAGAAAUAAAACAAAUAUUGUUAAUGUUUCAUUCAUUGAAAUAAAAAAUAGCUGUUAUGAAUGAAAUGGUUUUGACUCAAUUUGUCCUCUGAUCAAUAUAAUCUGAAAUACAUAAACUCUUUAAAUCGCAAUAUCGUGAUAUGUAUCGUAUCGUGACCCAAGUAUCGGGAUACGUAUCGUAUCGUGAGGUUCAUGCCAAUACCCACCCCUACCGUGAACCGUUGCACCACUACUAAACUCUAACCUAGCUAGCCUGGCUCGCUCUCGCGCAUCUGUGUUCGCGCUCGUGCAUGAUUGUGCGUUCGUGUACUUGGAAUGGGUCAGAGUCAGCGUUGAAGGAGAGGGGGUAGGACCAUUUGAGUUGUGUAUUUUCAAAAUCUGCUGGCGUUUCGCAAAUCCCAUACCCAACCAUUAAUUAUUGAAAGUCUACUUUUGCCACCCGUGAAGUUAACACACAAUAAAGUGUGCUUACUGAUGAUCAUUCAAAUUUGAAAAGAUCAUAUAGGUUGAAAAAGACCAAGGGUUCUGGUUGAAAAUAAUAGUUUUUUAAGGCAUUAUUUCUUUUAUAAAAUGUCUGGAUUCUCGACUCUCACUGUAUUACUGCCUGAACUCAUUUCUGUUUUCAAGUGUUUUUUCAUUUGUCUAAAUCCUUGAUUGUCACUUAAAGACAAGUAAACAAUUGCUCAAACACUAAUUGUAAUACUACGUUAGAUUACUUCUGUGUUACACUGAGCAAUAUUCAAACAUGCAGAAUGAAAACAGUACCUCUGCAAAUCAAACAGAUGAAUGCCUGUUUGAAUUCAGGCCAAACUGGUGACGAACCACGGCUGACGGUCACCGAGUCAGUUAUUUUCUUAGCCACUUCAUCCAGCCCUUGGGAUGCCUCCAGCAGUUCCUCCACAUUGUCCCUCAGCCUUUGGACAUGGUCAUUUCUGUUACCUGUUACUUGAUCGUCGUCGACGCCAUUGCCGGUAUGCGGUACUCUCAAUAGCAUGGAUUUUCCGUGAAUUCUGCCUCCAGUACAAAGACCCUUCGAGAGAGAAAUGCAGAAUAAAGACACAGAGAGAAUAACAAGAGUAAACACUGUUAUACAUGUAGCAGGUAGGACGGUAGUGAUGGGUAAUGCACCUUGGCCCCUCCCACUGGCAAUAAUCUAGAUCAGGUGGCACAUGUGACACGUCUUAAAAGAGGUGCGAACUCAGUAUUGGUGAAAAGACGGUGGAAG